UAACAUCGGAACGUGUCCUGUCGUGGGGGAUAGCCCGGCGAAAGCCGGAUUAAUACCGCAUGAGAUCGAGAGAUGAAAGCAAGGGACCCCAAGGGCAACCGAGGGGCCUUGCGCGAUUGGAGCGGCCGAUGUCGGAUUAGCUUGUUGGCGGGGUAAAAGCCCACCAAGGCGACGAUCCGUAGCUGGUUUGAGAGAACGACCAGCCACACUGGGACUGAGACACGGCCCAG
rnacentral:rRNA from 1 species